rnacentral:tRNA from 1 species
GGAGGACUCGCCUAGUGGCCUAGGGCGCACGCUUGGAAAGCGUGUUGGGUUCACACCCUCGGGGGUUCGAAUCCCCCGUCCUCCGCCC